rnacentral:rRNA from 1 species
GAUGAACGCUAGCGGGAGGCCUAACACAUGCAAGCCGAGCGGGAUUUGUUGGUUAGCUUGCUAACUAACAAUGAGAGCGGCGUACGGGUGCGUAGCACGUGUGCAACCUGCCUUUAUCUGGGGGAUAGCCUUUCGAAAGGAAGAUUAAUACCCCAUAACAUAUUGAUUGGCAUCAGUUAAUAUUGAAAGCUCCGGCGGAUAGAGAUGGGCACGCGUAAGAUUAGCUAGUUGGUGAGGUAACGGCUCACCAAGGCUGCGAUCUUUAGGGGGCCUGAGAGGGGGAUCCCCCACACUGGUACUGAGACACGGACCAGACUCCUACGGGAGGCAGCAGUGAGGAAUAUUGGGCAAUGGGUGAGAGCCUGAUCCAGCCAUCCCGCGUGAAGGACUAAGGACCUAUGGUUUGUAAACUUCUUUUAUACAGGGAUAAACCUACUCUCGUGAGGGUAGCUGAAGGUACUGUAUGAAUAAGCACCGGCUAACUCCGUG